rnacentral:rRNA from 1 species
UUGUUGGAGAGUUUGAUCCUGGCUCAGGACGAACGCUGGCGGCGUGCUUAACACAUGCAAGUCGAACGCUGAUCCGGUUUCGGCCGGGGAUGAGUGGCGAACGGGUGAGUAACACGUGGAUAA